GGUAUGUUGGAUCCCUGCUUCGUGCAGCGACAUCCUACCUGACAUGCCUCUUCAAUUAUGGUGCAAGAGCAAUUUUGCCUUGAUCGGGUCUUGGGUUUCCUGUGUUGCAUACCUACAUGAAGGCAUUCGGUUGUCCCAACGUCCCUCUUUUGUCUAGUGCACUCUCAUGUGGUUCCUUACUAGAUGAACAAAUGUAGCAUGUGAAGUGUCCCACGCUGUCCUCUGACGGUUGUGGUGCAUAGAGCUAUGCUUGAACUCUCGGAUUCAGAAAACUUUGAGGGUAGUAGGUCACACGGCCUACCUUUUGCUCCUAUAACGCGUUCACGCUAAACUAGCGAACGACUUCCGUUCCCGUCUUGAUCGGGCUAGCCGUUGGCUGUCUUGCUCAUGCGGUGCGAUGUCGCUGAGGAAUGCUACCUGGUUGAUCCUGCA
rnacentral:misc_RNA from 1 species